UACAGAGGGGGCUAGCGUUAUUCGGAAUUAUUGGGCGUCAAGGGCGCGUAGGCGGCCAUGCGUGUCUUCCGUGAAAUCCCUCGGCUUAACUGAGGACGUGCGGAAGAAACUGCAAGGCUCGAGUCCGGGAGAGGGGGGUGGAAUUCCCAGUGUAGCGGUGAAAUGCGUAGAUAUCGAGAGGAACACCUGCGGCGAAGGCGGGUUGCUGGGCCGACACUGACGCUGAUGCGCGAAAGCCAGGGGAGCGAACGGG
rnacentral:rRNA from 1 species